GACGAACGCUGGCGGCGUGCUUAACACAUGCAAGUCGAACGAAGAGCGAUGGAAGCUUGCUUCUAUCAAUCUUAGUGGCGAACGGGUGAGUAACGCGUAAUCAACCUGCCCUUCAGAGGGGGACAACAGUUGGAAACGACUGCUAAUACCGCAUACGAUCUAAUCUCGGCAUCGAGGAUAGAUGAAAGGUGGCCUCUACAUGUAAGCUAUCACUGAAGGAGGGGAUUGCGUCUGAUUAGCUAGUUGGAGGGGUAACGGCCCACCAAGGCGAUGAACAGUAGCCGGCCAGAAAGGAGGAACGGCCACAUUGGGACGGAGACACGGCCCAGACUACUACGGGAGGCAGCAGUGGGGAAUCUUCCGCAAUGGACGAAAGUCUGACGGAGCAACGCCGCGUGAGUGAUGACGGCCGUCGGGUUGUAAAGCUCUGUUAAUCGGGACGAAAGGCCUUCUUGCGAAUAGUGAGAAGGAUUGACGGUACCGGAAUAGAAAGCCACGGCUAACUACGUG
rnacentral:rRNA from 1 species